rnacentral:misc_RNA from 2 species
AUGUGGCUCGUAAGACUCGUUCCAUCCAUGCUUUCUUUGCGAGGUUUGGUGGAUUUGAAAGUAAUACUAGUGUUCCGCUUGAGUUGUGUGUUGUACAGCUCAGGUGGUCAUUCGUAUCUACUGUUCUCCUGGAUGCGGUGCAUGCGGCUAAUGUGGGCUCUUGAUUGUGCCCCGUCGAGUCCCUCGGAAUUAUUGUUUGCCAUGAACGACGCUUGCCGCAGUGCCUGGGUUGCUCUUCCGCUUGCGGUGGCAACACUUGCACGUUGGGCAUAGUUGUUGGUGGAUGCUACCUGGUUGAUCCUGCCAGUAGUCAU